GGCCGGUUAGCUCAGGUGGUUAGAGCAUGGUGCUAAUAACGCCAAAGUCACGGGUUCAGCCCCGUACGGGCCCA
rnacentral:tRNA from 1 species